UAAUUUACAAUCUGUACUUACUUUCCACUUUUUCUUUCUUUUUCUCUUUGGAGAAAAAUAUAAAAUUGCGGGUUAGGUCAGGUGUCAUAAGGAGAAACCAGGAAAAUUGCGAUUUUAUUAUUUAUAAUCUUCCUUCUAUUAUCGUCUCUUUCGCUUUACUUUCCCCUCUCUUUCUCUUUCUUUUUCUCUUUCAACGGCAAAAAGAAAAUAACUUUAUAGAUAUGAGAUCGAACAGUUGUGUGGUUGGAUCGAUUUUGAACUACUUUUGCUGUUCUGAUUUCGUGUUGUCUCAGCCCUCUGAUCGAUUGACGCCUUGGCUACGCCUUAUUUAUCUUCCCGAAUAGCACCGCCAGCACCAGGUAUCUUCAGCUGAUCUUCUGUUCUGGACUUAUGUUUUCUCUAAACUCAAGCGCGCUAAUAAUUUUCUUUUUGUGUUAAUUUUUUACCCAAAGUUGACAAUUUCUUUUUCUUAACUAAUUGUAUUCUAUUAAUAUUAUCGUAAGCAAUCCCCCAGGCGCUGCUAAAGUUUGCAUAUCAGUAUAAGAAAAACCAAAAGAAAAAUAACAGCAGAAAAAAAAAAAGAAAAAAAAAAAGCGAGAGCUGAGUUCCGUCGAUGCAUUGCGGUGACACAAGAUGAGCAAUUCCUAUCCCAAAAAUUCACAGGUGAGAGGUAAGUCCCAAGGUUGGGCUGCCUUUGACCUGAACCAGCGUCAGAAAGGUCAUCAGAAACAACCUCAAGUAGUUGUUGACACUGGCAAUACCAAUGGCAAUGAUGAUCCUUUUCCACCUCUUCCAACAACAACCACCUCUCUACGUCCCUGUGGCAAUAAUGCUCUUCCUGCAACUGCUAGGUCUUUCUCAUCUGUGUUCAUACCUUCUGCAGAUUUCCCACCCAUUUCUGACAAUAUUAGUGAUUCUACCUUUAAUGAACUCAAACAACUUCACUCUUGGGCCGAUUCAAGUUUGAUUCAGGAUGUCAUGUACUCUGUCAAUAAUGAUUUUCAUAUGGCAGCAAGUUUCUUAAAUACCAUACUUUCUUCUACUCACAACUCUGUGGGGAAUGGCCGGAUUGAAAAGUAUUUAUCUACCUCCCAUGACCCUCAAUCCGAGAAAGUGCGCAGUGAGUGCUCUUUCUCAGAGAACACCUCUGACCUUGCUGCAGAUAUAGUUGAGCUUAGCUCUACUCUUGAGGAGGCUCUCACACAUAAUCACAAUGAAUUGGCGGCUGCUUGUGGGCAGGGCGAGGCACUUUCUCAGGCUGCUGCAAACAUGAACCUAAUUCUGGGCCACUUGAAAUCCAUUCCUGUUGAGCCCGAGUGGGAAGAGCAUAAUCUUUACUUAAAGCAUCGUAGAAAUGCCCUAAAGAUCACGAGGUUGGCAUCUCGACACUCCAGGGCAGCCACUAAUGCCUUUUUGAGAGGGGACCAUUUUUCUGCCCAGCAGGAGUCACUGAAGGCUCGUAAGGAAUGGUUGGAUGCUGAAAGACUAAAUGCUGAGGCAGCUAAGGAAAUUUUAAAUAUAACAAAUAGUGAAAAUAAUCCUUGGAAAUUGGACCUACAUGGUCUUCAUGCAGCAGAGGCUGUUCAAGCCUUGCAAGAACAUCUGAAAAAAAUUGAGACCCAGCUUUCAGUGAAGCGGCUUGUAUCUCCAGGUAGAGUUAAGACAAAGAAUGGAAUUAUAUGUUCAUUAAUUGAGCCCUUUAGUAACAUGGAUGUGGAGAACUUGGAUAUACAACGUGUGGGAUUUAGGCAGAGACCAGCAUCAUUACUAGUCAUAACAGGUAUUUUUCUUUGUCUUGUGCACAUGAGAUAUUUUUUAUACAUAAUUUCUGUGGCAAGCAGUAUUGUUUUUGGUGCAAGGCACGAGGACCCAAGGUUGAUGGCCUGAUGCACUUCUAUCAUCUAGACAAGGUGAUUUAUUUGGUGGCAUUUGCUUAAUGCUUAUCCUCGGGGCUUUAGGUGCAAAAUGGUGUAGGCAAUCACAGUCGAGGUCAAGCUUCCCUCCCAACCGCUAUAAAAAGUUUUCUCAUUGAAAAUAGAUAUCACUUUGAUGAGGCAAGGCCAGGUGUAAUUAGUGUCUUCCCCAAAUUCCGGCAUAGGUAAAUGGUCAGUUUACUAAAACUUGUGGGUGAGGAAUCACAUCAUUGCAUCUUGUUUUCUGGUUAAUUAAUUUCAGUCAUUUGAGAGAUCGUAUCGCCAUUGUAAGCCCAAUCAUUGAGUUCAGUUAGCUGGGAGGAUCUUGUUUGGCAUUAUGAACUGUAUGUAUUUGUGCUUUUGGAAUGAGCCGGGAUUUUUUACAUGGAAUGCAAGAAUUCAUGUUCUAGAUUCUCUUGUUAUACCUUGUGUCAUUGUAACUUGAUUAUUUUGGAUGAACCUAAUUUUCUGAGGAGCUACAGCAUAUUUUGAUUCGA